GACGAACGCUGGCGGCGUGCUUAACACAUGCAAGUCGAACGGAAGGGCCCUGCUCUUGUGUGGUUCUCGUGUGGCGAACGGGGGAGUAACACGUGAGUAACCUGCCCUUGUCUUUGGGAUAACUUCAGGAAACUGGGGCUAAUACAGGAUAGGAGCUCCUGAUGCAUGGGGGGGGAUGGAAAGAGUCGGCGGUUGGGGAUAGUCUCGCGGCUUAUCAGCUUGUUUGUGGGGUAGUGGCGUACCAAGGCUUCGACGGGUAGCCGGCCUGGGAGGGUGACCGGCCACAUUGGGACUGAGAUACGGACCAGACUCCUACGGGAGGCAGCAGUGGGGAAUAUUGCACAAUGGGCGGGAGCCUGAUGCAGCAACGCCGCGUGCGGGAUGACGGCCUUCGGGUUGUAAACCGCUUUCGCCUGUGACGAAGCGUGAGUGACGGUAAUGGGUAAAGAAGCACCGGCUAACUACGUG
rnacentral:rRNA from 1 species